UAAUUUCACCUUGUACACCACAGAAAAUUGUUAAAAUGAUGGUUAGUAGUUUUUUAUUUAUACCUAGUUAUCAUAAAUGAUUUCAGAUAAAUAUUAUUGAUAAAGAACAGCAAAAAUUCAAUAAAAUUUUCACUUUUAAAUGCAUUACUGGCACGGGGCUGAACACUUUUUUUUAGGCACAGUCAUAACUUUGUUUACCCCCGAGAGAUCCGAAAUGAAUUGUUUAUUCAAUUGAAAAAGGCAAGAAAAAACUUACAUGUAAUAUAAAUAAAUUGUAAGUAAACAUGACACAAUAUAGUCUUUGUUAUGCAAUUAUCACUCUGGUCUACAGGAAUAGCUUAUAAUCAAGGGAGAUAACACACUUCACACGAGUAAAGUGAGAUACAUCAUACAUGUGCUUUUAUCCAAUGAUUUGACCCUGGUCAGUAGAUAUCAUAUGCAAAUAAACAGAAAAAAAACCAUGUACAUGUAUUAAGAAAAUCACGAAUUACUAUUGUUAAUGCACACGAGCAAAACACAAGAUAUUGUCAUUUCUCAGUGAAAAAGGGGGAGGGUCAAACCUUCUUGAACACAAUAUUGCUAUUCAACUACAUGUAUUAAGCUAGUUAGCUACUACUCAUUGCUUCUAAUAUAAACAGUUUAAAUGAAGGUGUCUAAGCCACAAGGGAGAAGCAUUUUUCUUUCUUUGUGAUAACAUUUUCAAGAAUUAGAUUUUUCUCUCUCAAUAAUACUUAUGUAUUUAAAUUAAAUGAUAACACAGUUUGAGUUAAAUUUUUUUGUCUUAUUUCAGUUCCAGACAUAUCAUUACUUUUAAAUAUGAGAUGACAAACUAAAGGUUUUAAAAAGUCCUGAAUAACUGAAAUGGACAAAAAUACACAGAUUUAUUCAGAAUGUCAUACCGAUGAAGAUCACCUAAAAAUAUUUGGAAAAAUCAGAACUAUGGAUUUCAAUAUGGGACAAUACCCCUAAUGCGCCUUGAAAUGAGGAACACAAAAGUCACGUGUAAACAAAAAAUCUCUGUGUAGUGAUAUUUGACACAUUUCUAUGAUAAACAAAUAACUGAGCUGAACCAUUAGUGUUAAUUUAGAAAAUAAGGGAACACAGAAUAAAUGUGUAAAAACCAUGGAGCUAUGAAAUGUGUUCAAAGUAUUAAAAUUUCAAAGAACUUAUUGUGUUAAAAUUGGGAUUUUUUACCAUGAGGAGCGACAUCGCAAAAGGAUACUCGGGGUUUGCUAAAUUACGGAAAAAUGAAUCACACUUCGUACCCCGAAAAUUUAACCACAUAUGUAAACAUGUCGCAGCUUCGAAACAAGCCAUCAUACAUAUACAAGUUUACGAUAUGGGCUGAGCAACAGAAGAAAACGUUACCAUUACGGCCUAUGGAAUAACAAUUGCGCAUAUUGCCCCAUCUUGUGAGCUAGGAUCCAGAGAUAUGUUAAGCUAAUUUCACCUUGUACACCACAGAAAAUUGUUAAAAUGAUGGUUAGUAGUUUUUUAUUUAUACCUAGUUAUCAUAAAUGAUUUCAGAUAAAUAUUAUUGAUAAAGAACAGCAAAAAUUCAAUAAAAUUUUCACUUUUAAAUGCAUUACUGGCACGGGGCUGAACACUUUUUUUUAGGCACAGUCAUAACUUUGUUUACCCCCGAGAGAUCCGAAAUGAAUUGUUUAUUCAAUUGAAAAAGGCAAGAAAAAACUUACAUGUAAUAUAAAUAAAUUGUAAGUAAACAUGACACAAUAUAGUCUUUGUUAUGCAAUUAUCACUCUGGUCUACAGGAAUAGCUUAUAAUCAAGGGAGAUAACACACUUCACACGAGUAAAGUGAGAUACAUCAUACAUGUGCUUUUAUCCAAUGAUUUGACCCUGGUCAGUAGAUAUCAUAUGCAAAUAAACAGAAAAAAAACCAUGUACAUGUAUUAAGAAAAUCACGAAUUACUAUUGUUAAUGCACACGAGCAAAACACAAGAUAUUGUCAUUUCUCAGUGAAAAAGGGGGAGGGUCAAACCUUCUUGAACACAAUAUUGCUAUUCAACUACAUGUAUUAAGCUAGUUAGCUACUACUCAUUGCUUCUAAUAUAAACAGUUUAAAUGAAGGUGUCUAAGCCACAAGGGAGAAGCAUUUUUCUUUCUUUGUGAUAACAUUUUCAAGAAUUAGAUUUUUCUCUCUCAAUAAUACUUAUGUAUUUAAAUUAAAUGAUAACACAGUUUGAGUUAAAUUUUUUUGUCUUAUUUCAGUUCCAGACAUAUCAUUACUUUUAAAUAUGAGAUGACAAACUAAAGGUUUUAAAAAGUCCUGAAUAACUGAAAUGGACAAAAAUACACAGAUUUAUUCAGAAUGUCAUACCGAUGAAGAUCACCAC